GGCUCGAAUCAGAGCGAGAAGCUGCUCGGGAUUUGCCCUUUCCCCUCCCUCCGGCGGCAAUUGCUGAAUCAGAAGCUGAACACGGUUUUCAGAAGAGGAGAUUUUGCAGUUAACAAACUGAAACCAAACGUCACUCAGGAUCUGAGAGAGUUACCAAACGUAUCACAACCUGAAUACAACAGAAUAAUGGACAUGGAAGGAGAAAGCACUGUUCCCAGUGGGGAGAAACUGGUUCUGUUUUUGGGUAAGGCUUCAAUCAAUCAUCUGGCUUAUCAGAAUGUAACACACUCAUAAUGAUUAGAAGCCAUGGAGAUGAGGGGAUUGUGGUAAAGACUUCUUUCAUCCAUCAAUACUGAAAAAUCAUCAGCUUAGUUACACCAGGAAGAGGCCAUUCACCUGUUCUGAGUGUGGAGAGAGACUCACUCAAAUCAUCCACCCUGCUGACACACCAGAGUGUGGCAAGAGGCUGUUCACCCCCACAGAGUGUGGAAAGAGAUUUAUCAAUUCUUCAAACCUGGUGACACACCGGCAAGUUCACACUGAUGAGUGACCUUUUAAAUGCCCAGUCUGCAGGAAGUGCUAUGAAAGGUCUGGGGAACUAAUGCUCCAUCAGUGUGCUCACACUGAAAGAGACUGUUUGGGUGUUCUGACUGUGGGACAGCAUUUCAGUGAUCAUCUCGGCUCACUGUAUACCAUUACGUUCACAUUAGGGAGAAGCCCUUUACCUGCUCUGACCGUGGGAGGGAAGUCAGUCAGUCACCCCAUCUGCUGAGGCACCAGCACAUUCACACUGUGCAGUGACCAUUCACCUGCCCCAGCUGUGGGAAGGGAAUCACACAGGUGUCAUAUCUGCUGAGUGACCAGAGAGUUCACAAGAAACUGCAGUGAUUGGGCUUUACUAUUAACCGCGUUCAGGAAUUAACCAGGUUCAUUGUGAUCUGUUUCUGCUGAUAUUAAUAACCACCUGUUCAGGUAUAUGUUAAUGUAGAUACGUAUCAAAUAAACCAGUUUUGUGUAAAAUACAA